UACAGAGGUCUCAAGCGUUGUUCGGAUUCAUUGGGCGUAAAGGGUGCGUAGGUGGCGCGCUAAGUCGGGUGUGAAUCCCGGGCUUAACCUCGGGACUGCAUUCGAUACUGGCGUGCUUGAGGACUGGAGAGGAGACUGGAAUUCAUGGUGUAGCAGUGAAAUGCGUAGAGAUCAUGAGGAAGACCAGUGGCGAAGGCGGGUCUC
rnacentral:rRNA from 1 species